CAGGAAAGAACAGGCCAGGCUGGGACAAAGCGUAUUGGGACACCCUGACACAGAACAUUCCCUGUCCUUCCUAGUCUCCAUCUCCUCCAAAGCUACAUUACUCAGACCUUCAGGUCCGUUUUAUGAAUGGAGUCAUUGAGACUGMGUGGGCUGACCCUGGAGUAGAUUAGAACCAGCCAUUCCUCGUGUUCCUUCAAGCACCUUCUGUGGUUUCCUGACAGCUGCCUGCAAGGGGGCUCUAAACCUUGGAACCUACAGACAAAGGCUGAGAAAACUGGUAGAGACUUCCUGGAGCCAAAAUCCCACUGGUACAAAUCUUCGUGCUUCUCAUUUUUUCCCAUGUCGGUGUUCUCUGUCUCCUUUUCAGCCUGUGGGUACUGGCCCACAGCUUGGCUGGGCUCUUUUCAGGAGAGGUCACACCACAGAGGCCUGGAUGGCCCCUGUUAGCAUUGCUGUGGCACUCAGUGCAAAUGGGAGGCCGCUCCAGCUGGGCCUGGUCAAUGACAGACCUGGGACAGAGUGGGAUGGGUUCUGCCUUCCCAGAGGGGCCAGGCAGAAGCCCAAGGAGGA
rnacentral:lncRNA from 1 species